AGGAGCCGAAGAAGGACGGGACUAACACCGAUAUGCUUUGGGGAGCUGUACGUAAGCGUUGAUCCAGAGAUUUCCGAAUGGGGGAACCCACUAUCUUUAGUCGGAUAGUAUCCUUACGUGAAUACAUAGCGUGAGGAAGGCAGACCCAGGGAACUGAAACAUCUAAGUACCUGGAGGAAGAGAAAGAAAAAUCGAUUUCCUGAGUAGCGGCGAGCGAAACGGAAAGAGCCCAAACCAAGAAGCUUGCUUCUUGGGGUUGUAGGACACUCUAUACGGAGUUACAAAAGAAAGUUAUAAAUGAAGCGGUCUGGAAAGGCCCGCCAAAGACGGUAACAGCCCGGUAGUUGAAAUGGCUUUCCCUCCAGAGUGGAUCCUGAGUACGGCGGAACACGUGAAAUUCCGUCGGAAUCCGGGAGGACCAUCUCCCAAGGCUAAAUACUCCCUAGUGACCGAUAGUGAACCAGUACCGUGAGGGAAAGGUGAAAAGCACCCCGGAAGGGGAGUGAAACAGUUCCUGAAACCGUGUGCCUACAAGUAGUUAGAGCCCGUUAAUGGGUGAUAGCGUGCCUUUUGUAGAAUGAACCGGCGAGUUACGAUUUGUUGCAAGGUUAAGCGGAAAAAGCGGAGCCGUAGCGAAAGCGAGUCUGAAUAGGGCGCAUAAGUAACAGGUCGUAGACCCGAAACCAGGUGAUCUACCCAUGUCCAGGAUGAAGGUAAGGUAAUACUUACUGGAGGUCCGAACCCACGCACGUUGAAAAGUGCGGGGAUGAGGUGUGGGUAGCGGAGAAAUUCCAAUCGAACUUGGAGAUAGCUGGUUCUCUCCGAAAUAGCUUUAGGGCUAGCCUCGAGGUAAAGAGUCAUGGAGGU
rnacentral:rRNA from 1 species